UUUUUGUCUGAUGGAAAAUGAAAAAUUACUUUUGAUUUCUGAUGGGUGAUUAAUGCAAAACAAAAUUUCUUUCUCUCUCUAGCUUUCAGAAUCUCUCGUUCUCUACCUUUCUGUGUUCUUUUCUUUCUUCUAACCCUAAUGUCUUUUGUUUAAUCUGUGCGAUUGUUUAUAAGUAUACGAUGAGGAUACUGGCAAUCGGGUAGACGAUGUCAGAAGAAAAGAUGUAGACAAUCAUACAAUCGUAUAGACGAUUGCUCGAAGAAAGGUAGACGACCGUGCAAUCGUGUAGAUGAUUGCUUGAAGAAAGAUAGACGAUCGUUUUGUUCUUCUAGACGAUAUAAAGAAAAAAGAUAAACGAUGAACGAUCUUGUAGACGAUGAGAAGAGAAGAAGAAAAUACACUGCGAUAUACAUGGUUCGGCUAUGAAAGCCUACAUCCAUGGGAAGGAGAGAGUUUUUAUUAAGAAGCUAAGUCACAGACCCUUUUCUUUACAGAUUGUCCAAGAUUUGCUUGAAGCUAUGUAUUUGUUGUUGUUGUAUCUAAAAUUUGUAAAUGAUGAGUUUAAAUACUAUUUCUGAUACAAGUAGUUACAAUAACUAACUGUAAAGAUUAAAUAAAUAUGAAACAGCUUCUUGAUGUUGGUAUGAACUUAUAUUCUUCCGUUAUCUUUUGGAGGAAGGACUUGGAAAUGAGUUAAACUUACACAUUAACGUGUUCUACAGGUUUACAAGUGGAUGUCACUGUAGAUUUGAAAAUUUUGGCAUUUGACAUCAGUACUAUAAGAACUGCAACAGAUCACUCAGAUGAAAAUUAUAUUGGAGGAGUGAAUUUAAGAACGACAUCCUGUUUAAACUUCAACACCUGAAUUUAGAUCGGCUUCUCAGCUUCUGCCUCCAUGAAGACGAAAGGGUUCUCGUGUUUGAGUUUCUGCAAAACUCAAGUCUUGAUAAAUUCAUAUUUGAUCCAUUGAAAUGUCAAGAUUUGGACUGGGGAACACGCAACAAAAUCAUUGGAGGUGUUGCUAGGGGCCUUGUUUAUCUUAAUCAAGAUUCUCAAAUUAAAGCUAUUCAUCAAGUUCUCAAAGAUGCAAAUAUUUUAUUAGACCCAGAAAUGAAUCAUAAAAUUUCUGAUUUUUGCAUGGGAAAGUUGUUUCCACUUGGUGCACAAAGAAAUACAAGUCAGUAAGUAUAAAUAGGGGAAGAAACUCAUUAGCAUAUUCUUCAUUCUAUGAAGCAUAGUAGCAUAAAUGUUCUUCAUACUUUAUUAUCUUUCCUCUCACCAUCUAAUUAAUCUCACAAAUGUCCAAAUUCAGGGGAUACUUUGGAAACUGUACUUCUCAUGCUUAAUAGGGACACAAUCACUCUACCAAUAGUACUUUCUCCACUAGGUUAUUUCAUGAAUAGGAUCCCCAAAUCAGACGUCUUCUUCACAAGAGAGGUCUCAUUCCCAUGUGAUAGAGAUGGAAUGAGACGGGCCUCGAACUAACUUCGUCCAAUCGUCAAGACGUUCUAGUUUAAUUUUGAGACUGACUUGUGUGUGCAAUAAUGUGUACAGAUUUUCAAGAAUCAGCAGACUGUUUUUCUUGGCCAAAACAAGCAGCACUCUUCAUUCAAGUGUUUUUUUGCAUUAUAAGAAGUAUGAAAGCUAGAAAUAUACUCUCCCAAUUUGUUUUAUAUUGUUUUUAUGACUCAAUAUUAUCAGUAAUGCCAAU